UUGCUUUCAUCCAAACACGUUUCGGAAACUGGAUCUAGUUCUGUCUUCUGGUAAUUAAAUUGGAAAGGAGUUCUCUUUGUGGGAGAAAAUCAGUGUCUGCACAUGGACUGGAACUCAGACCGCUUUGUUACAGACAAUUGCUUUACGACUGAGCUAUUGCAUUCCAUCACACAAUGACUGCUCCCUGCACAGCGUCAGCUGCGUUCUACACCAUUUAUUUGACCGAGCUGUUUCUUUGAAAUAUUUUUGUCAAUACACACCCAGUUGUCAUAUGUCCAUGGGAGAGUCAUGUGAUGAGGCUGUAUCAGGUUCCUGAGGAUGCUUCAAAGACACUGUUGACAGUGCAAACUCUGUUGAAGAAUUGGGCCAGUCAGUGAUAUGUUAUGACAAGCUCUUCUAUCUCUCUGGUAGAGGCCUUGCGACGGACCGAUCCCUCAUCCAAGGAGUCCUAAGAAAUGUCCAUAGAU